rnacentral:lncRNA from 1 species
UGUGCUCUUCCGAUCUUCCAAUUAUAUGUUGUAAAUCCAUUGAAGUGCCAACUGUUAACAAUAUAGUCAUAGUUCCUAUCCAUUAUGGAAAGUUAAAAAAGAAAUACAGACUCUAUCUCCUUUACUGAGGCAUGUUAAUAGGUCAUUCCCUUUCAAUCUAACAAAAACAUUUGUAGCUUCUAUGAUGACUAAAACCAAUAGUAUUGAGGUCCAGACUGUGAAUCUCCUAUUCAUCUGCAAAAUCAUUUGCAGGAUGAAUGAAGAAAAUUCACUAUCUGUCUCAGUCUUAUAAACAGUCAGUAUCCACAGCCACUUAUUAUCUGUUGCUACUGUUCCAUUUAUCAAUUACAUUGGAGAACAAGAAAGCCAAGACAUGUAAAACUUCCAACAAAAGCACCAAUUCCAUGAAGAAAAAAUUAAACCUGAAAGGAAGGAUAAUUCUGGAGAUGGUUAUGAGGAGAUUGGAAUGGUGAUGAGUACACACUUAGAGAUAAAAUAUAUUAGAAGAAUAAAAAGAUAGUAUAUGCCCUUCUCUAUUUAAUUAUCCCUUGAUAACAGAUCCAGUUAUUCAAUGGAACUGUUGUAGUUUAUUUUAUAAUUUUGCUGAUAUAAAGACUUUAAUCUCUUCCACCUUUCCUUUCUAUCUUGCUUUCUAGGAGACACAGUUAAAACCUGGAGAUAUAAUUACUCUAAGGCAGGUAUAUUAAAUAAGAGGCCCACAGCCUGCAUGCACUUCAGUAUAGUUUACUCACUAGCAUAAACAUUUUUAGCAAUCAUAUAUUUUAUAUUAUUUAAUUACUGUCAUAAUUCAUAAACAGAAUAAUUAUUUCAUCUGUUUACUUUACUGAUACAAUUUACCUAAUUUUCG